GAGGAAUAUUGGUCAAUGGACGAGAGUCUGAACCAGCCAAGUAGCGUGAAGGAUGACUGCCCUAUGGGUUGUAAACUUCUUUUAUACGGGAAUAAAGUGAGGUACGUGUACCUUUUUGUAUGUACCGUAUGAAUAAGGAUCGGCUAACUCCGUGCCAGCAGCCGCGGUAAUACGGAGGAUCCGAGCGUUAUCCGGAUUUAUUGGGUUUAAAGGGAGCGUAGAUGGGCGUUUAAGUCAGUUGUGAAAGUUUGCGGCUCAACCGUAAAAUUGCAGUUGAUACUGGACGCCUUGAGUGCAGUUGAGGCAGGCGGAAUUCGUGGUGUAGCGGUGAAAUGCUUAGAUAUCACGAAGAACUCCGAUUGCGAAGGCAGCUCACUGGAGUGUAACUGACGCUGAUGCUCGAAAGUGUGGGUAUCAAACA
rnacentral:rRNA from 1 species